rnacentral:rRNA from 1 species
CAGUAGCCACGGUAAUACGUAGGUGGCAAGCGUUGUCCGGAAUUAUUGGGCGUACAGGGCUCGCAGGCGGUUUCUUAAGUCUGAUGUGAAAGCCCCCGGCUCAACCGGGGAGGGUCAUUGGAAACUGGGAAACUUGAGUGCAGAAGAGGAGAGUGGAAUUCCACGUGUAGCGGUGAAAUGCGUAGAGAUGUGGAGGAACACCAGUGGCGAAGGCGACUCUCUGGUCUGUAACUGACGCUGAGGAGCGAAAGCGUGGGGAGCGAACAGGAUUAGAUACCCCCGUAGUCCCUGUCUCUUAUAC